CGUAUACUCGACCUGCCGUUGUGUAGUACGAAUGGGGCGACAGGACGUCGCCUCAAGCCGAGGGGGCACAGGACGUGCCCUCCGAGGCGGUUCGUACGGAACAGGCAGGUCGAGUAUACGC
rfam:Dethiosulfovibrio salsuginis strain TSBA 82 genome assembly, contig: Ga0105850_123